CAAAAUGAAAAGCUACCUGAUGAGGUUCUUGAAAAAGACCGAAACGCGUUGUGGCUGAUUUAUUGAUUUACUCACCC
rnacentral:hammerhead_ribozyme from 1 species